rnacentral:rRNA from 1 species
UUUAUGGAGAGUUUGAUCCUGGCUCAGGAUGAACGCUGGCGGCGUGCCUAAUACAUGCAAGUCGAGCGAACUGACGAGGAGCUUGCUCCUUUGACGUUAGCGGCGGACGGGUGAGUAACACGUGGGUAACCUACCUAUAAGACUGGAAUAACUCCGGGAAACCGGGGCUAAUGCCGGAUAACAUGUUGAACCGCAUGGUUCAACAUUGAAAGGCGGUUUUGCUGUCACUU